CUCUCGGGGAUCGAAUUAUCAUGUCUCGUCGGGACGCGACAAUCGAUCCCCGAAUCGACGCUCUUACUCCACCAGCGGAGGUGGGAGUAAGUGCCAUCGACGGGGAGCCGUGGAGGUUGAUUUUGCCGCCGUCCUCACAGUGGGGUAAGUCGGCUCUGACAGGUCAAAUUCGAAUUUGAGUAUCCUAAAUCGACCCUCCCCCCCCCCGUACUGAAGACCUGCCCUUAGUUUGUUAGCAUUUGUAGUGUGCUGUUAAGUUGGUCAGAAGUCCUCAAGAGGGGAGGGGUGAGUGGGAUGGAAGGUGUUUAAACAGUGUUUUUGAUUUCUGCUCCAGCCUCGACUAUGAGCAUUCUAACCAAGGGACUGAAAACUUUAAGACAAUACCAGGACAGCAUUUCAUGGGAAAUCUGGGAUGUUUUCCUGACAAUACUGAAAGCUGUACGUUUAUCAUCUUGUCUUCUGAACCAGGUUUCAUAUUGUCUGGCCGCUGUUGGACCACUGGCUUGAUUCUGCUGUGAGUCCUGUAUGCUCUGUGAUGGUGAUUGUCACAUAAGCCCAUGUGCUCUAGUCUAGAGCAUGAGAUCAGCCUCUAGGGCUAGACAUAGGACUAAGUUGUGGCAGGUUUUAAAGGAAAGGACAAAGAACUUGCAUUUGAUGCAGAAGGUGAGAGGAAACAAGUGAAGGAAUUUGCAGAUGGGCUGAAUGUGGUCAAAGCUAUAGGUGAGGUAGAUACGUUAUUCAGCUGAGUUUCGGAUGGAUUGGAGGAGUAUGAAACAGAAAACAGAGAGGAUGUGGGUACAGAUGUCAAGAAGACACAAGAUGAUCAAAACAUGGACAAGUGUUGGUGAUAGGAGAGGUGAAGAAUGAUCGGGUUUCUGACCUGUUUUGUAGAAUAAGCCAGCAUAAAUUAGUGAUAGUGACAAUGUUGGGGGAGAAGGAUAAAGUUUAAAACAGUUAUACUAGGUUGUGAGCUAGAGGGGUAGGGAGAAUGGUAACAUUGUUGAUCAUAGAAUCAUAGACUCAUAGAAUAUCAGGGUUGGAAGGGACCUCAAGAGGUCAUCUAGUCCAACCCCCUGCUCAAAGCAGGACCAAUUCCCAACUAACUAGAUAGUUAUGGAGAAUAAAGGAUAAGGGUUUUGGAAAAGAGAUAUAUAC
rnacentral:lncRNA from 1 species